rnacentral:rRNA from 1 species
GACGAACGCUGGCGGCGUGCUUAACACAUGCCAGUCGAACGGAAAGGCCCUGCUUGCAGGGUACUCGAGUGGCGAACGGGUGAGUAACACGUGGGUGAUCUGCCCUUCACUUCUUGAUAAGCCUGGGAAACUGGGUCUAAUACCGGAUAGGAGCCAUUUUUAGUGUGAUGGUUGGAAAGUUUUUUCGGUGUAGGAUGAGAUCGCGGCCUAUCAGCUUGUUGGUGGGGUAAUGGCCUACCAAGGCGGCGUCGGGUAGCCGGCCUGGGAGGGUGGACGGGCAAAUUGGGAAUGAGAAAAGGCCCAGACACGUAAGGGAGGGAGCAGGGGGGAAGAGUGAAAAAAGGGCGCAAGCCUGAUGCAGAGAAGGCGCGGGGGGGAAGAAGGGCUUAGGGUUGUAAAAAACGUUCGCUAGGGACGAAGCUUUUUGUGACGGUAACGAGAUAAGAAGCACCGGCUAACUACGUG